rnacentral:SRP_RNA from 1 species
GCCAGGCGUUGUGGCGGGUGCCUGUGGUCCUAGCUACUUGGGAGGCUGAGGCAGGAGACUCGCUUGAGCCCAGGAGUUGGAGGGUGCUGUGAGCUGUGAUGCCACAGCACUCUACCCAGGGUGACAGCUUGAGGCUCUGCCUCAAAAAAAAAAGAAAAGAAAAUGUCUUUCUAAGGAAUUAUUUCUUCAUCUGAUCUCUUUUUUUUUUUUGAGACAGAACCUCAAGCUGUCCCUCUGGGUUGAGGGCUGUAGUAUCACAGCUCACAGCAACCUCCAACUCCUGGGCUCAAGUGAGUCUCCUGCCUCUG